rnacentral:lncRNA from 1 species
GUCCUGCAAAGUGUGCAAGGGAGAUGCUGUGGAUGGCAUUAGGAAAUGGGAUCCCUUAGGAAAUUUAGUUGGGAGUCUCGCAUUCCAACAUUUCUGACCAACUCGUAUCCAGAGUGCGGUUGAUGGGGAACAGCCUUCUUUCAGAGACUUAUUCAACCAGGCAUAUUCCAAGGUUUGAUUCGUUUUCCUUUUCUCUGUUUCUCUGAGUUUUCUUUUCCUGCUCUGUUUUUAAUAGUAGACAAAUUUCAAAUAUUAUGAAUAAAUCGUCAGCUGUAGCCGAUAGGAUCAAAUACUCCAUGUAGAUAAUCUGAACUAUACAGGACAUAGCCAAAGACAGUGCCGUAUAUGACUAUAGUAAUCACCGCUGUAUAUAUGAUGUAGAUAUUUUGAACUGGAUUGGAACUUACUAUAGUCUCAGCUUGGGGAUACAAGUUGUCUGAAUAAUGACAGACCAACAUAAUGGUUUUGAGUAACCAAAAGUUUUAUACGGGUGCUGAUCCUUUCACAUAAUCAUAUUUUCAGGUUUUAUGAAGUGAUUUUGUUUGUUUGCUUGUUCCUUUUUUUCGUAUUUGGUCUGUAAUUAUUGUUUGUAGUAAAUGGAAAUGCAAAACUAUAUUAGACUAGAGAUCUUGAUAUGCCUUCUAAAUCAAUCAAUGAAGGCUUGAGAGCAGCCGUACUAGCAUUUUAUUCAAAAAAUAAAAUAAAACACUCUUUCCGAUUCAUUCAGAAAUUGCUGAAAAUUUCCAUCUACCAAGUAGCUAAAUAUUGCUAAAGUGUGAGGAAAAAAAUUAUUUAUGGCAUAUGUGACUUUUGAGAGUAGAAAGUGGUUACUCCCUGGCAAUAUUUAACUAGCUCCAAGUUGGAAAUUUUGCUUCGCUGCGAUGAGUUUUAUUUUAUUAUCGGUAAAUUUACUUUCAUUUUUAGGGAAAGGGUUUUAGAGGGACCAAAAGCACAAGAAAAAGAAGGACAAACUUAGAAGGGAGAAAUUCCACAACACCGAGGUCGUCCGGAUCGAUGCCUCGAACCACUAUUUUUUUAGCUUGCUUAUACAGUAAUCCAAUUAAUGAGCUCUUAUUAGUUCCUGCCUCCAUUGCCAGAGUCCUCACAUAUCCACGCCCCUCACCGUGACCCUCACCAAGUCACCAUUACUAGUAGGGGUGGGCUCGGGUCGGGUCGGGUCGGGUUUUACAUGAAACCUAAAAGUUUUAGGUCAGGUCGGGUCGGGCCUUUUCAAAAUGUAAACCCAACUGAGACCGGCCCGAUUCGGGCUUUCGGGCUUUUUCGGGCCUAAAUUGAAUUCGGGCUUUUUUCAGGCCCAAAAAAAGAAUUAGAUGCCUUUUCCAUUUUGGGGCUCUAUAUCAGAGCAGUUGUUAUGCUUCUGCUACAAUAACAGUGAUAAUGUCAAGUUUCAAUAACUACUAGGCUAUUACAUUAUGGGUUUCACAAACAUGAGUGAAACUAACUAACUCAAAAUAGACUAAUGACAAUGUUAGUAUUCUUCCUGCAAGUUACAACUUUAGUUGGUUUCACUUUGAAUAAGGCAACUCGAAGCAGAAAUCAUUUUCGAAGACCUAGGAGUUCAAAGCAACAUGAAAAUUGUGAGACACUGACACAAUCCAAACUUAUCAGGACAUUACUAGUAUACUCAAAUUAACAUCAAUACCACAAAUAAACAAAUUACAGAUUACAAUCUUGAAAUGCCUUAAUCAUCAAACAGGUAGGAACUGACAUAUCACAGAAUCUGCUCAACAUUAUCAAACUGAACAAUGGAAUCCUCCUAACUGUAUCAAGGAAAAAGUACCAAAAGUUAUAAAUUAUAGGUAUGUCAGUAGGGAACUACGCCAAAGCAUAACUGACAAGGUCAGUAGGAAGAUGCAGGGCUUUUGGUUGUGACAUCAAAAACUAACUAAUGCAGAGCUCAAUCCAUUUACUUUACUUAAUGGCUAUGCAUUACUCUUAAUCUGCAUAAAUGCUACUGAACUUUAAUAUCAUUCAUGCAAAAGAACAUGGAUGAUGUAGUGCAAAUUUCUUGUUCAGUGGCUGCGGGUGUAGGAGAGGAUACUGAACAAAAGGUAAUCUCGGAUAAAUGAACUCCGUCUUUAAUCUUAUUCUUCUUAUUUACAAAACUACACCCACACCCUUGCUGAUAUUGCUCUAAACAAUUGCAAGCUAAUAGAGCGACAAAAUGAUCCUAAAGACAUAAUAGAUGGUUAAGCCUUAAAUAAAUUGAAUUGACAAACACAAACUACAUUUCAUACAACAUAGUUAUAUUAAAAGCAGAUCCAGUACAACACUGAGAGAAUUAAUAAUGGAAAAUAAACUGAAGAGAAAGCUCAAAAUCCCUCACAUCAUGAGAAUUUAAAGGUGGCAACAUCUAUAAUUAAAGAGCAGCUUUAACAUAGUCAAAUGAUUACACAAAUAUCAAACUAGAUAAUUAAAAGCUGUUGGGAAAACAAAAUGAAGCACUAGAUAACUUUAUGUACCAACUAACCUUUCAGCACAAACAAUUUUACAAAACACUAAACAAUACCUAAUGUUUUUGUUGCCUUCCCUCUUUAGAUGACUUAGAUGCCCUACAUGCUACAGCUUUCCCUUUAGAAGCUUGAGAAGAUUUGGUGGUAAUAGGCAUUUCCGGGUGAUCCUCAGUACCAUUGACACCUUCUUCCUUUUCCGGUUUUGCACCAUAGAUACCAACAAAAGCUCAAGUUCAAAUCGAAACUAAAACUCAGAAUGAAACGAAAAUUAAGAAAAGAAAUAAAAAGUUUUACCUUCCUCCACAGAUUCAUAAAAUUUCAUAUCCUCAAUAGUUGGAACAUAUUGAAUGUUGUGGAUACUCUCAAACCUAAUCCAAUUUUGGUUGCAGAUUAAGGCCUCCACUAUCUUGGGAGAUAAAGAACUCCGAAAUGGAUCAAUCACCCUUCUACCAGUAUUAAAUGAAGACUCGGCUGCUACCGUGCUCACUUGGAUGGCCGACACAUCUUUUGCAAGUGCAGCAAGACCUGGAUACUUGUCACCAUUCAUCUUCCACCAUUCUAAUAUGUUGAAUUUCUCAGGACUUGGAAGCUUCUCAAUUGGGUCCAGUAGGUAUCUGUCCACUUCGUGUACAACAACAGCUUCUUGAGAGUCUUCCAAUUCUCUCUCUCAUUUUUCUUCCAUGUCUUUUAUGAUUCCAGUUGUCACAUCUCGACCUUUAAAUUUUUACCUUAUUUACUAGCUUGGUUAUAAUAAGAAUUUUACCGUCUUCGUCAAUGAAGUUAUAGUUUAAUUGGUCCCUAG